rnacentral:rRNA from 1 species
UACGUAGGGGGCAAGCGUUGUCCGGAUUUAUUGGGCGUAAAGAGCGUGUAGGCGGUCAGGUAGGUCGGUUGUGAAAACUGGAGGCUCAACCUUCAGAGGUCGACCGAAACCAUCUGGCUAGAGUCCGGGAGAGGAGAGUGGAAUUCCUGGUGUAGCGGUGAAAUGCGCAGAUAUCAGGAAGAACACCCGUGGCGAAAGCGGCUCUCUGGAACGGUACUGACGCUGAGACGCGAAAGCGUGGGGAGCAAACAGG